rnacentral:rRNA from 1 species
GAUGAACGCUGGCGGCGUGCCUAAUACAUGCAAGUCGAGCGAACAGACGAGGAGCUUGCUCCUCUGACGUUAGCGGCGGCCGGGUGAGUAACACGUGGAUAACCUACCUAUAAGACUGGGAUAACUUCGGGAAACCGGAGCUAAUACCGGAUAAUAUAUUGAACCGCAUGGUUCAAUAGUGAAAGACGGUUUUGCUGUCACUUAUAGAUGGAUCCGCGCCGCAUUAGCUAGUUGGUAAGGUAACGGCUUACCAAGGCAACGAUGCGUAGCCGACCUGAGAGGGUGAUCAGCCACACUGGAACUGAGACACGGUCCAGACUCCUACGGGAGGCAGCAGUAGGGAAUCUUCCGCAAUGGGCGAAAGCCUGACGGAGCAACGCCGCGUGAGUGAUGAAGGUCUUCGGAUCGUAAAACUCUGUUAUUAGGGAAGAACAAAUGUGUAAGUAACUAUGCACGUCUUGACGGUACCUAAUCAGAAAGCCACGGCUAACUACGUG